rnacentral:miRNA from 1 species
CAGGCUAGGGAAAAUAAUUGGAU